rnacentral:lncRNA from 1 species
UUAAAGUUGAUAGCGAAGUUUAGGGAGGCUAAAUUAGAAUUAGAAAAAAAUUAAAAGAAAAAAUUGUAAGAAAUAAAAUAAAUCAAAUUAAAUUAAAAAAUAGAUAUAUAGGGUCAAAAUGAAAUGUGCGAAAUAGGACAGGGACUAGACAUGAAAUUUUAUGAAUCAUCCAAACGCAAUGUUCUGCGAAGGAUUAAACUAAAAUAAAACUGAAAUUAAGUAGUAAAAUUUUAAAAAAAAAAAGGAAAAGGAGCGAAAUAGGAUUAAAAUUAAAAAAGAAUAAAGGCGAAAGGACCAAAAGGGUAAAUAUCCCCUUUUGCAAAAACGCGGGGAUCCUCCAGGAGUGGGUUGGGUCGUGCUCAGAUCGACCUUAAACAACGCCGUUUUGGCACUUAAAUGACCUAAGUGAAACGACGCCAUUUUGCUUCCUUUAUUUAAUUUAAAAUUCUUUUUAAAAAAAAUUCAUUUUUCUCUCUUCUUCUUCAAAAACAAAGCAAACUCUCUCUCAAGCCCUCUCAGCCCUCCCCUUCCCCCUCCGGCCACGACUCCGGUCACCUGACCAUCGUGGCGGCCGCUGGUCGCCGACAGCGAUGGCGCCGUCCACGGUGGCUGGAGAGCCCAAAAUUCCCUUUUUUUUCCCUCUCGACCCCUAAACUCCGGAUUUAGAGUUAGUUUUUUUCCAAAAAAUGGCCAAAGAAUGCUGAAAUGGGUGAAGACUCUUCGGUGGCCGACGAUGGAAAGACUCAAGUGAGCCCCUCUUCCCUUUUUAUUUUUCUUUUAUUUCGUAUGUAAAAAAAAAAAAAAGAGGAAGGAUUUAAGAAGAAAAAUAUAAAGAAAUAACCUUUAAACUUUUUUGCAUUUGAUUUUUUUCUCUAUGAAAUAUUUUCGAUUUCAAUCUCUCCUCUCCCUCUUACAUCGACUUGGUGAUGGCUUUUCAUAGCCGAAAUUGAUACAAUAUAUUAUGUUUUUUUUUUGCUACUAUUUGCUACUGUUUUGUGUUGUUUGCUUCUGCUUUUUUUUUUCAGUUUGCAGGUGUUGCGUGUUGUUUCCUCUUUGUAGGUGGCAGAGAUGUCAGAUGGCCGUGGCAGAAGGUAGUGCGGCGCGCCUAGGGCAUUAGGUUUCUUUCUCUGGUUGAAAAUGUUUAGGUAGUGAGCUUAUUUGGCCAUUAGGGUUUUUUUUUUAUUUUUUGGGUCAAUGGCCAUUAGGAAAUAGGGUUGUUUUUAGUCUGGGCCGUUCGGGUUUUGGGCCUGUUGUAAAAAUUUGGACUGCUUAAUUUUAUUAAAAGUUGGGGUAAAAUUGGGUUAUCAUAAUUAUAAUCUCCAAAUUAGACAUACAUUUUUUUUUGACAUCCUAUCUUCAAUAAAGAGAAAGACAUUUUUUUUAAAUAUUUGUAUGUUAAUUAAGAAGAUCGAAAUCAUAAGAUUUGAAGAUUUGAACAUGUUUCUUAGACAUAUAAAUUUCGUUCUUGAUAAUUUGACAUUUAUCUAAUUUUAUA